CUGAAGCAGGUAGGCAAAUAAAGACAGACCUGAGAAAGAGGAUCACACUGCUGCUCAUCACGACAGGACGCACAUUAGUUCCAACUAAAAACUAAAAGACCUUCAUACUAAAAGUUUAGGCCUUUUUAUUUUUGCAUGGUUUAACAGAAAACAAUUUCUGACUUUUUGUUUCUUUAGCACCAAUUUGGAUCUAACGCCACGAGCAAGGUACAGACGUGCUGCGGAGGCCGAAAAGUGGUUUUAUCUGCUCUGUGAAUUCUAUCCUUCAUUCCACCGGAGUCUGUGUAGCUGUCCAAUCAGAUUUCAGUGGUGUGAAGUGUAGGAGACAUGGAAAGAGCACUUUUUCCACAAGCUGCAAAGGCUGUUUUCAUGGGCUUAACAGAAAAACAGCACAGAUGCAAGGUGAAACGCAUGUCAAGAACACAAUUACAAGUUUUCAAAGGCAUGCAUGGCUAGUUUUGCGUUGUAGUAUAAUUUGCCAUGUGCUUUCAUGCUUGCACGGAUCAAUGCAGGCUGUGACAGUUGCAUGCUAAACGCUGUGAAUGUUAAGCCCCCGCUGUCCUAUUGUGCAUUUAAGUUCAGUGUAUCUAAACAUCUAUGUAAAGCGUCGUACCUCACCCUGCCCUUUAGCGCACCGCUCCAGCUCCACACAACAUGGCAUGUUUGUUCAUUUACUGUUGUGGAGAGAGCCGAGGCGGGCUGAGUACACACACACCCACACAUGCAAGAUUCACAAAGCCUGCCAAAAUGUAUUUAUGUAUGCUGGUUCAGCCUUUAUCCUCUCAACCCACACUAAUAAACUCACUUUAC